AUUGAACGCUGGCGGCAUGCCUUACACAUGCAGGUCGAACGGCAGCGCGGGGCAACCUGGCGGCGAGUGGCGAACGGGUGAGUAAUAUAUCGGAACGUACCCUGGAGUGGGGGAUAACGUAGCGAAAGUUACGCUAAUACCGCAUACGAUCUAAGGAUGAAAGUGGGGGAUUCGCAAGAACCUCAUGCUCCUGGAGCGGCCGAUAUCUGAUUAGCUAGUUGGUAGGGUAAAAGCCUACCAAGGCAUCGAUCAGUAGCUGGUCUGAGAGGACGACCAGCCACACUGGAACUGAGACACGGUCCAGACUCCUACGGGAGGCAGCAGUGGGGAAUUUUGGACAAUGGGCGCAAGCCUGAUCCAGCAAUGCCGCGUGAGUGAAGAAGGCCUUCGGGUUGUAAAGCUCUUUUGUCAGGGAAGAAACGGGUUUUUCUAAUACAGAGAUCUAAUGACGGUACCUGAAGAAUAAGCACCGGCUAACUACGUGCCAGCAGCCGCGGUAAUACGUAGGGUGCAAGCGUUAAUCGGAAUUACUGGGCGUAAAGCGUGCGCAGGCGGUUUUGUAAGACUGUCGUGAAAUCCCCGGGCUCAACCUGGGAAUGGCGAUGGUGACUGCAAGGCUAGAGUUUGGCAGAGGGGGGUAGAAUUCCACGUGUAGCAGUGAAAUGCGUAGAUAUGUGGAGGAACACCGAUGGCGAAGGCAGCCCCCUGGGUCAAAACUGACGCUCAUGCACGAAAGCGUGGGGAGCAAACAGGAUUAGAUACCCUGGUAGUCCACGCCCUAAACGAUGUCUACUAGUUGUCGGGUUUUAAUUAACUUGGUAACGCAGCUAACGCGUGAAGUAGACCGCCUGGGGAGUACGGUCGCAAGAUUAAAACUCAAAGGAAUUGACGGGGACCCGCACAAGCGGUGGAUGAUGUGGAUUAAUUCGAUGCAACGCGAAAAACCUUACCUACCCUUGAC
rnacentral:rRNA from 1 species